UCUGUCCCAACAGCAACUCUCUGGGUACCUUGAUUAUUAACCGAGAUAUCUCGCCUUGACAAACUUGACUUAUGGCGUCAUCCUCUGCGGAAGUGCAUAACAUGAUAUUUCCUACCAUGGUGGAUGACUUUAUAAGUCAAGUUUUUAAAGGCGAGAUACCUCGGUUAAUAUUCAACAUAGAAAUUUGCUGUUUGGCCAGAUCUUAAAAUUUUUAGUUGAUCUGCAAGAAUAAAGUAUCUUUACACGAUUCUGAGACCAGCAAGACUGCCCCAUCCUUCCACUUUUAUGUUCUAUGUUAUAUUUCCAUUGUUUCAACCCUAAAUUUUUCACAAUUACCUGUUUACUCUGCUCUCAAGAGGUGUCGUCAGCUAAGUUGGCACUUGUUUACAUUCCACUUGCAUGCAAUAGAUGAUAUUAGUAGUGAAGUCAUCAUAGGGAUUCUCCAUUGUAUCGAAUUGGAUCCAUACAAUAACAUUGGCGUAACCUCUUUCAAUGCUACUAUAAUGCGAAUAAAGCGAUAUGUAUAACGCUUUUUUGUGACGUGCCACUAAUAGCGUCUAUUGAGAUGCAAUUGUCCAACAGCUAUAGGGGAUUGACGGCAGCCUGAUCGUGAGCUUAGUCAAUCCUUGAUUUCUGUUGGACUACUACAUUGUAGUUGCUUGCGAAUGCUAUGUAUUCAAGUGCCAACUUAGCUGACGACACCUCUACCUCAAGUUAGCAGUAUUACUUCUGAUAGUUUUACACAAGUUUGUCCUUUCUCUUGAAGGCAUAAAGUUAUUUGACCAAUUUUAUCUACUCUCCGCCGUCAACCUUCUCUGGUAUUGACUUGUGCAACACUCAAGAAUAUUUAUUUUCGGUUCACAGUGUACUCUCCGUUUUUAAUUGAUCAGAAUGGAUUUAAAAACAUAUCAAAAUGGCGGCAGAGCCACUGGAUAUCUUUGAGCAUGAGUUGCUCUUCAAAGCAACGGAUAUCUCUGAGCAUGAGUUGCUCUUCAAAGCAACCAAUUUAUCCAAACUGGCCUUCAUAGAUUUGUCUCAGG